rnacentral:rRNA from 1 species
UACGUAGGGUGCGAGCGUUGUCCGGAAUUAUUGGGCGUAAAGAGCUCGUAGGCGGUUUGUCACGUCUGCUGUGAAAUCCCGAGGCUCAACCUCGGGCCUGCAGUGGGUACGGGCAGACUGGAGUGCGGUAGGGGAGAAUGGAAUUCCAGGUGUAGCGGUGAAAUGCGUAGAUAUCUGGAGGAACACCGGUGGCGAAGGCGGCAUCCUGGACCGACACUGACGCUGAGGCGCGAAAGCUAGGGUAGCAAACGGG